CGGGUGAGGAACGCGUGGACAACCUACCCCGGCGUGGGGGAUACCCGCCAGAAAUGGCGGCUAAUACCGCGUACGGUUCUGAGGCGCAGGGCUUUGGAAAGAAAGCAGCGAUGCGCGCUGGGAGGGGUCUGCGGCCGAUUAGCUUGUUGGCGGGGUAACGGCCCACCAAGGCGAUGAUCGGUAGCUGGUCUGAGAGGAUGAUCAGCCACACGGGGACUGAGACACGGCCCCG
rnacentral:rRNA from 1 species